CCUACGUGAGGCAGCAGUGGGGAAUAUUGCGCAAUGGGCGAAAGCCUGACGCAGCGACGCCGCGUGAGGGAUGAAGGUCUUCGGAUCGUAAACCUCUGUCAGCAGGGAAGAACGGUCAAUGUGCUAAUCAGCAGUGAAUUGACGGUACCUGCAAAGGAAGCACCGGCUAACUCCGUGCCAGCAGCCGCGGUAAUACGGAGGGUGCGAGCGUUAAUCGGAAUUACUGGGCGGAAAGCGCUCGUAGGCGGUAUGUCAAGUCACGGGUGAAAUCCCCGCGCUCAACGUGGGAACUGCCUUUGAAACUGGCAAACUGGAGUGUGUGAGAGGAUAGUGGAAUUCCUGGUGUAGGAGUGAAAUCCGUAGAUAUCUGGAGGAACAUCAGUGGCGAAGGCGACUAUCUGGCACAUAACUGACGCUGAGGAGCGAAAGCGUGGGUAGCAAACAGGAUUAGAUACCCUGGUAGUC
rnacentral:rRNA from 1 species